rnacentral:rRNA from 1 species
GGCAAUGGACGAAAGUCUGACCGAGCAACGCCGCGUGAGUGAAGAAGGUUUUCGGAUCGUAAAGCUCUGUUGUAAGUCAAGAACGUGUGUGAGAGUGGAAAGUUCACACAGUGACGGUAGCUUACCAGAAAGGGACGGCUAACUACGUGCCAGCAGCCGCGGUAAUACGUAGGUCCCGAGCGUUGUCCGGAUUUAUUGGGCGUAAAGGGAGCGCAGGCGGUCAGGAAAGUCUGGAGUAAAAGGCUAUGGCUCAACCAUAGUGUGCUCUGGAAACUGUCUGACUUGAGUGCAGAAGGGGAGAGUGGAAUUCCAUGUGUAGCGGUGAAAUGCGUAGAUAUAUGGAGGAACACCAGUGGCGAAAGCGGCUCUCUGGUCUGUCACUGACGCUGAGGCUCGAAAGCGUGGGUAGCGAACAGGAUUAGAUACCCUGGUAGUCCACGCCGUAAACGAUGAGUGCUAGGUGUUAGGCCCUUUCCGGGGCUUAGUGCCGGAGCUAACGCAAUAAGCACUCCGCCUGGGGAGUACGACCGCAGGUUGAAACUCAAAGGAAUUGACGGGGGCCCGCACAAGCGGUGGAGCAUGUGGUUUAAUUCGAAGCA